rnacentral:tRNA from 1 species
GCCAGAGUAGCUCAGUGGUAGAGCAGCUGAUUCGUAAUCAGCAGGUCGCCGGUUCAAGUCCGGCCUCUGGCUCCA